GACGAACGCUGGCGGCGUGCCUAAUACAUGCAAGUAGAACGCAGUUGCGAACGGGUGAGUAACGCGUAGGUAACUGCCUCAUAGCGGGGGAUAACUAUUGGAAACGAUAGCUAAUACCGCAUACUGUGAGAUGGACCUGCGUUGUAUUAGCUAGUUGGUGAGGUAAAGGCUCACCAAGGCGACGAUACAUAGCCGACCUGAGAGGGGGGUCGGUCACACUGGGCAUUGUGCAACGGCCCGGCUUCUACGGGAGGCCAGAAUAGGGGAACUUCGGGCAUGGGCGGAAGUCUUAACGAGCAAAGCCGGGGGAGGGAAGGAGGUUUUUGGGUUGGAAAGCCUUGUUGGUUGGGAAGCGGUAACUAACCAGAAAGGGACGGCUAACUACGUGCCAGCAGCCGCGGUAAUUC
rnacentral:rRNA from 1 species